AACGCUAGCUACAGGCUUAACACAUGCAAGUCGAGGGGCAGCAUGAACUUAGCUUGCUAAGUUUGAUGGCGACCGGCGCACGGGUGAGUAACACGUAUCCAACCUCCCGCUUACUCAGGAAUAGCCUUUCGAAAGAAAGAUUAAUGCCUGAUGGUAUCUUAAGCACACAUGUAAUUAAGAUUAAAGAUUUAUCGGUAAGCGAUGGGGAUGCGUUCCAUUAGGUAGUAGGCGGGGUAACGGCCCACCUAGCCGACGAUGGAUAGGGGUUCUGAGAGGAAGGUCCCCCACAUUGGAACUGAGACACGGUCCAAACUCCUACGGGAGGCAGCAGUGAGGAAUAUUGGUCAAUGGGCGCGAGCCUGAACCAGCCAAGUAGCGUGAAGGAUGAAGGUCCUAUGGAUUGUAAACUUCUUUUAUACGGGAAUAAAGUGGUCCACGUGUGGGCCUUUGCAUGUACCGUAUGAAUAAGCAUCGGCUAACUCCGUGCCAGCAGCCGCGGUAAUACGGAGGAUGCGAGCGUUAUCCGGAUUUAUUGGGUUUAAAGGGUGCGUAGGUGGUGAUUUAAGUCAGCGGUGAAAGUUUGUGGCUCAACCAUAAAAUUGCCGUUGAAACUGGGUUACUUGAGUGUGUUUGAGGUAGGCGGAAUGCGUGGUGUAGCGGUGAAAUGCAUAGAUAUCACGAAGAACUCCGAUUG
rnacentral:rRNA from 1 species